GAAGAUUACCUCCUGAACUGGACUCCUCCUCCUGAGAAUGCACACUCACAAGUUUUAAGCACUUCUGCAAGAACAGGUCCAGCACCAUUCCAGUCCCAAAAGGGUAGGUGUCCAUCAGUUACAGAACAGAUGUGGUAGAAAUCACCGUGACAGCAGCACACAGGGUAGGUUCAACCUAUGAAGAUCGCCUUCUACCUUCUGGCGCCAUUUUCACAUUUCCCAGCACCACUGAAGUCAUGCAGCUGAGUAAAACCUCUAGAAGGUUCUCUUCGUCCCUAAGCUGGACAUCUACUAGAAGCCACCAAUGGGCUUCGUGACUGAAGUUAAUCCAGCAAAAUCCCAUUUUCCCUCCAAAAGGACUUUGUGAAUCACCUGUCUUAAGCUGAAGUGAAACUUCUAGAUUGCAUUUAGAGAGGGAGCUUUCUUUUCUUCAAAAAAGAAGUACUAAUACACUUCCACUUGAAGCUGCUUUGGUUUGCAAGUUUCUCUAUUCUUUCUGUUGUCUGAUCCCUCUUCAAGAUAUGAUAACUGAUUUUAUCUUACUCUAAGAGCUUGAACGGUGAGCUGAGCAGGUAAGAAAAGGAAUAUUAAUCUUUGUGUAGGGAUUUUUCCAUUGUUCUUAAGUGGAAAAUGGUCGUAUUUCAGGAACUACGGAACAGAGAAUAUU